GACGUAGGGCGCGAGCGUUGUCCGGAUUUAUUGGGCGUAAAGAGCUCGUAGGCGGCUUGUUGCGUCGACUGUGAAAUCCCCCGGCUUAACCUGGGAACUGCGUCUGAUACUGGGAGGCUUGAGUAUGGGAGAGGGAUGUAGAAUUCCAGGUGUAGCGGUGAAAUGCGUAGAUAUCUGGAGGAAUACCGGUGGCGAAGGCGGCAUCCUGGACCAUUACUGACGCUGAGGCGCGAAAGCUAGGGGAGCAAACGGG
rnacentral:rRNA from 1 species